UACAGAGGGUGCAAGCGUUAAUCGGAAUUACUGGGCGUAAAGCGCGCGUAGGUGGUUUGUUAAGUUGGAUGUGAAAUCCCCGGGCUCAACCUGGGAACUGCAUCCAAAACUGGCAAGCUAGAGUAUGGUAGAGGGUGGGUGGAAUUUCCUGUGUAGCGGUGAAAUGCGUAGAUAUAGGAAGGAGCACCAGUGGCGAAGGCGACCACCUGGACUGAUACUGACACUGAGGUGCGAA
rnacentral:rRNA from 1 species